rnacentral:rRNA from 2 species
AGUGAGCGGGAUGAGCUCAAAUUUAAAAUCUGGCUGGUUUACUAGUCCGAAUUGUAGUUUAUAGAAGCGUUUUCGGUGGCAGCCUGGGUAUAAAUCCUUUGGAAUAGGGUAUCAUAGAGGGUGAGAAUCCCGUCUUUGACUCAGUGCAUGCUACUAUGUGAUACGUUUUCAAAGAGUCGAGUUGUUUGGGAAUGCAGCUCAAAAUGGGUGGUAAAUUUCAUCUAAGGCUAAAUAUUGGCGAGAGACCGAUAGCGAACAAGUACCGUGAGGGAAAGAUGAAAAGAACUUUGAAAAGAGAGUUAAACAGUGCGUGAAAUUGUUGAAAGGGAAACGCUUGACACCAGUUAUGCGGGUGGAAAAUCAGUCUUUUGCAAUGGGGAGUUGUGGGCGUUCAGACCGCAAGGCUGGCGUUUGCUUCAUCUUUGUUGUAAGUGAUGCACUUUUUCAUUUGCAGGUCAACAUCAGUUUGCUUUGCUGGACAAAACCCCAAGGGAAGGUGACAGCUUAGGCUGUGUUAUAGCCCUGGGGCGAUACAGUGGAGUGGACUGAGGUUUCGCAGUGUGUGCUCUCGGGCAAGGCUGACUGGGUGCUAUGGGAUCGUUCGGCGUACAAUGCAUGCAUUUUGCGUCGUGUCUUUUUCAUACUCGCUCAACUCGGCUCUUCCACGCUUAGGAUGUUGACUUAAUGGUUUUAAUC